rnacentral:rRNA from 1 species
AUUAAACGCCGGCGGCAUGCCUUACACAUGCAAGUCGAACGGUAGCGCGGGGCAACCUGGCGACGAGUGGCGAACGGGUGAGUAAAGCAUCGGAACGUGCCCUGGAAUGGGGGAUAACGUAGCGAAAGUUACGCUAAUACCGCAUAUUCUGUGAGCAGGAAAGCAGGGGAUCGCAAGACCUUGCGUUCUGGGAGCGGCCGAUGUCGGAUUAGCUAGUUGGUGGGGUAAAAGCCUACCAAGGCGACGAUCCGUAGCGGGUCUGAGAGGAUGAUCCGCCACACUGGGACUGAGACACGGCCCAGACUCCUACGGGAGGCAGCAGUGGGGAAUUUUGGACAAUGGGCGGAAGCCUGAUCCAGCCAUGCCGCGUGAGUGAAGAAGGCC